AUGUGGAUAGAAUGGAUUAUAAAGAUCCAUUCAAGCCAAAUAAUGAUUUGCAUAGCAAGAUACAUUGUUUAAAAUCCUAACACACUAAUGUAUGUAAUUUCAAAAUCUUCUUUUUUGGCUAUUGUUGGUGUACAUUCUGACAGCAUUUCUUGACUGCAUAUUACUUGACACUUACCUUCUCUGGGAAGAUAAUAAUAUCAUUCAUGAGAGCAUCUAACAUUCUCAUUACAGGUUCAUGGCAUAUGAUGAAAAUAUAAUUCUGAUGCCCAAGAUUUUUCUUUUUCUUUUACCAACUUUGUCUGAAUAUUUUUUCUGUCUAAAGUGCAUCAAAAUGUUUUAGCCAAGGUUUUAUUUCUUGACAUUUUUAUAACAUUUUGUGAAAAAAAUUGUUGAUCAAUUUUUGAGCAGAACAUUUUGAAAAUCAUUGACAUCCAACUUAGGACCUCUAAUUCUGGAGGACUAUUAAAACCAACCUAGAGUAAAGUUUGCUAUAUUACAAAGUUACUUUUUGGAAAGAAAUACUAAACUACAUCCCAACUCAAACAAUAGAUAAUCUUCAUUCUUGAUCCAUGUUUGCUGGUUCUCUCCACUUCAUUCUUCAUGUGUUCAUGUUUUGCUGUUCCUAACUUCUUACACACUGCAUCCUGCAUCUAUUGUAAGUGAUAGAAAAGAACAGCAUAAUACAAACACUUAGGGCACUAAUCAAUUAACAAAUUAAGUCUACAUGAAUAUAAUAUUAAGUGAAAGAAAGAAAAUGAGCAUUUUAGUUUCAAGCAAUUAACUGAUAUGAUCACAAAAACAGCAUCUGAAAAUUGAUAGCAUUGUUUAAAGUGCUACCAAUUGAAUAGUCCAAAAGGCAAUAAAAAAAAAAAAAAACUAAGAUAGUAAACUUUGUCUAUCACACACAAACCAAGCUCAAUUUUUUUCUACUUUCACAUGGACAUUUUUAGAUUUCUUAAGAUUCUUUGAUGAAGAGAACUGGUCCAGCAGGCAUCUUUUCACAUUUUCAGACUCUUCAGUUGACUUAAUCUUGUUAGUUGCUGUGAUUGGACUAUCUACCCCGUCACCUUGGGAGCCUUCCUAAAACCAUAGCUAUUUAGAGCAGUCAACUUUCAUAUACUGUUUUAAAAGAUGUUUUGUAUAUGCUACAAUAAAAGUAGCACAUCCAAGUUUAGUUACCUUUGCAGAAUCUUCAGUUCCUUCAUCAUCUUCUUCAAUCAUCCUAGAUAUAAGAUCCUUGUCUUGGUUAUCAUUGAGGUUUGAACAGUAGGCAGAUAUCAAGGUUACAGAUUUAAAGAUUCAAAACAGAUUAGUAACAGAAAACAGGUUAGUGCACAUCAGAUCAAUUCUUUGGCAUAUAUAAAAAAAAUAAAUAGAUAAUUAAACAAAUUAGUAACUAAAAUAAAUAAGUAAACAGAUUAAUACAAAAAGAAAAUUAGAAAAUAUUAGAAUAAGAAAACAUUAUUCUAUUAUGUCACUGCAAAUCUCCUAUGAAGUUCAACUGUUUCUCUUUGUUCUUUUCCUUUGAAUAAAAUAUUUGGCUUUGCAGUAUAUGUGUUCUCAUAGAAAGUGUUGAUUGUUUUGAUAAGCAUAAAUUCAUAAUGGAGCAAAAAAUGAACAGCAUUCAUACAUUUUUCUCAGUACUUCUUUUCAGGCCAGACAAAAUAAGUUUUUUUUUGUGUUUUACUACCUGUGUCCUGAGAGUACUUUUUUUUCAGGCCAGACAAAAUAAGUUUUUUGUGUUUUACUACCUGUGUCCUGAGAUUGUUGUUUCCUAUCAUAUUUACUAACCAAGCAUGCUCAUAAUAGAGUUGAACUAUAUAGAAAUCACAAUGAGAAAUUCCUAAUGUCCUGAGAUUGUUGUUUCCUUUUUCUGCCUUAUUAUUUAUUUCAUAUAAAGUUGCAAUGUACCAAUUAUUACAAUGUGCAUAUUAAGGUAGAUUAAUUUUAGAUUUAAAUUCUUUAUUGUAGGUUGAUUUCCAGAAGUCAAUACAGAUUAAAGAUAUAAUAACAUUUGAAAUAAAUGUGAUAAAGCUUACAUCAUAGAUACACCGCAACCAGGAAAGCUUACUUCGCUCCUUUGGUAUACAUCUGAAAUGGUCAGAACAUUCAUUUGACCUGAGCUAAAAUCCUCAAGUGCACUGCCAUUGCUCAUACUUGUCACGGAGACAAUGCUACACAUUGGGGUCAGCUCUCCUUUAAGCCUACAUAGAAAUGUGUAUGCUAUCAUCAGUAGGACACUAAAGUAUAAGACUCUAGCUGCUGUACAACUUAAUAUCACCAGUUGAUAGGCAAACUAUCUAAUUUUCAACACAAUGAAGGAAUUUAAAUGAGAAGAUUCAAAUGAACUUAAGUUGUGCGUAGCAAGAAGUAGACAGAUGAUUGUUCAGCAAAUAAAAAUGCAUACAUCAACGCACCUUAACCUUCAAGUAACUGUGUUCUUCCUCCUCGUGAAUGCAUGCUUUCCCAACUUCCUCCUAAGCUCUUCCUCCUCAACUCCACCAUUAGAUUGAUUUGCUUGACAGAAACGUAUUGAGAAGACAAUAUGUCUUUGUACAGAGGUUUACUUCUUCGCAAUAAUCUGUGAUUGAAUUUUAACUGAUUCUACCUCUUUAUAUAGAGGUUGAAUUUAUUCAGGACUUUUACAGAACAACGAAGAGGUUUUUGAAACAAAAAGACCUUUCAAUAGGAUGUCUCCAAUUAGAUUUCAA